rnacentral:rRNA from 1 species
AUUGAACGCUGGCGGCGGGCCUAAAACAUGCAAGUCGAGCGACCGGCGGACGGGUGAGUAAUGUAUGGGGACUGCCCGAUAGAGGGGGACAACUACUGACAACGGUUGCUAAUACCGCAUACUAUCGGAUAACCCAUAUGGGAUUAGCUAGUAGGUGGGGUAACGGCGCACCUAGGCGACGAGGUCUAGCUGGUCUGAGAGGAUGAUCAGCAACACGGGGAAGUAGACACGGCCUAGACUCCGACGGAGGCAGCAGUGGAGAACAUUGCACAAUGGGCGCAAGCGUGAUGCAGCCAAGCCGCGUGUAUGAAGAAGGCCUUAGGGUUGUAAAGGACUUUCAGCGGGGAGGCGUUACCCGCAGAAGAAGCACCGGCUAACUCCGUGCCAGCAGCCGCGGUAAUAC